GCAAAACAAAAUAAAAAACAUGUUGGGAUGAGUACAGUUGUUUCUGGUUCCAGAGGAGAUACCAAUUUUCUGGACUGGAAGAGAAGGACAAUUCCUGGCAGACUGGCAGAGAUGGUCAUCCUGGUCGGACGGUGUUCUCUUUCCAGUUAUACUUGGUAUUUACAACAUAACUUAAGUGUUGUUACGGCAUAACGAGGACUCUCUAUUCUACUCAGGAACACCAGGCUUGGUGACUUUUCAUCGUUCCCAUUACUUACGACCUACGCAACUCGCUGGAGCUCCCACGUUUUCAGGAGGGAUGAUUUGCUCAUGCAUUGCCGAUGCAAACAUGCGUAAAACGAGCGACAACACAAGGAGGCACGCAUGUGACGGGCGCUCUGAGGGAGGUAUGAGCAAAGUGGAACCAGGGCAUCGGAGAACCACCACAGUGGUGCCAGCCGGGCACAGUGGGGAAGGCCACGUCUUUAUUCAUGGCAGAAAGCGGAAGGGCCAAGAGGGCCUUUCUCUAUAUUUAGAGUGGGUAGGAGGAUGUCCUCUCAGAAAGUUCGAGCUGGGGAGUUUAAAGGCUUAAAGAAUAGGACGCAUGUCUGGGCUCUUGGGAACCCUCAGAAUACAUAGUCCCCCUCCCCCCGGGGGAUCUUUUUGGUACGUAAAGUUCUGAAUUGAAGAAUCCUUUUAAUUACGCCUGUGUGUGAUCUGGAUUAGAUGGACUUGACCAAGCAGUUAAAAUCAAAGCCCUGGCAUGCCACGUGAGCAAAAGCGGGUCAGGAGCCCUGCUGGCAGCAUUCUCCGUUAACAGCCUGGCUUCUUUUGGGGUUUGCUAACCCAGCACGAUAGAUUACAAACUAAUGAAAGAGAGGGAGAUACAGGAAAAGAAUUUCUUAAUUUAUAUAAGGACUGUAUCUUUAAUUUUUAAAUUAAAGAUUUAGC
rnacentral:lncRNA from 1 species